GACAGAGGUGCCGAGCGUUAGGCGGAAUCACUGGGCUUAAAGCGUGUGUAGGCGGGUCGUUAAGUGUCUUGUGAAAUCCCACCGCUCACCGGUGGAACGGCUGGGCAUACUGGCGACCUUGAGAGGCCUAGGGGCAGACGGAACAAGCGGUGGAGCGGUGAAAUGCGUAGAUAUCGCUUGGAACGCCGACGGCGAAGGCAGUCUGCUGGGGGCCUUCUGACGCUGAGACACGAAAGCCAGGGGAGCGAACGGG
rnacentral:rRNA from 1 species